rnacentral:rRNA from 2 species
AAGUCGAGCGAAUCGAUGGGAGCUUGCUCCCUGAGAUUAGCGGCGGACGGGUGAGUAACACGUGGGCAACCUGCCUAUAAGACUGGGAUAACUUCGGGAAACCGGAGCUAAUACCGGAUACGUUCUUUUCUCGCAUGAGAGAAGAUGGAAAGACGGUUUACGCUGUCACUUAUAGAUGGGCCCGCGGCGCAUUAGCUAGUUGGUGAGGUAAUGGCUCACCAAGGCGACGAUGCGUAGCCGACCUGAGAGGGUGAUCGGCCACACUGGGACUGAGACACGGCCCAGACUCCUACGGGAGGCAGCAGUAGGGAAUCUUCCGCAAUGGACGAAAGUCUGACGGAGCAACGCCGCGUGAACGAAGAAGGCCUUCGGGUCGUAAAGUUCUGUUGUUAGGGAAGAACAAGUACCAGAGUAACUGCUGGUACCUUGACGGUACCUAACCAGAAAGCCACGGCUAACUACGUGCCAGCAGCCGCGGUAAUACGUAGGUGGCAAGCGUUGUCCGGAAUUAUUGGGCGUAAAGCGCGCGCAGGUGGUUCCUUAAGUCUGAUGUGAAAGCCCACGGCUCAACCGUGGAGGGUCAUUGGAAACUGGGGAACUUGAGUGCAGAAGAGGAAAGUGGAAUUCCAAGUGUAGCGGUGAAAUGCGUAGAGAUUUGGAGGAACACCAGUGGCGAAGGCGACUUUCUGGUCUGUAACUGACACUGAGGCGCGAAAGCGUGGGGGAGCAAACAGGAUUAGAUACCCUGGUAGUCCACGCCGUAAACGAUGAGUGCUAAGUGUUAGAGGGUUUCCGCCCUUUAGUGCUGCAGCUAACGCAUUAAGCACUCCGCCUGGGGAGUACGGCCGCAAGGCUGAAACUCAAGGAAUUGA